UAACGGGAGGUGUUCAUGUCAUUAGAGCUCUUCCCUCAUGCUUCUGCUAUGUGAAGAACAGUGUUUCUCUCCUACAGAGGAUGCAGUGUCCAGGGCAUCAUCUAUGAAUGGAGACAGCCUUUACCGGACACCAAACCUACCAGCACCAUGAUCUUGAACUUACCAGCCUCCUGAACUGGCUCAGGGAGGACUGACAGGACUAGAGUUGACAACCAUUCAUCCAACAAACAUUUACUGCACGAGGAAGAGAGGUGAUCAAGGCACUGCCCUUGUCCCCAGGAAGCUCGCCAGUGCAUGGGACUGUGCAGGUGUCUUCACCUCUGCAUUAGGCAUUCAAUGUCAGGCCAUGGCUGAGCAUCCAUCCUCUCUAUGCUAAUUUUUUCCAAAAGUCAAGAGUUUGGAAGAACACUAAUGUGUUUUUCUUCCAGCCUUUCCUAUACAAAUGACAACAUCAUUACCCUCAGCUUUUAAAGUGCAAGUCUGUACAGGGAUCCCAGAGUCAAGGAGGGCGCCUGAGUCAUUUGAAAUAAUUACCUUUUUUUUUCCUGCCUGAGUCUUGCAUAUCUGUGAAUCAGCAAUGUGGAAACUGGGCUUCAAAAAAAUUAAGGGAGGCUUAAAGUGAGCAAAGCAGAGAAGAGCAUUGGCAAGAGUUGAGCGCUGCCACAGCAGGAACAUCAUGCCGAUCGUCAUCUAAGGGAGCUCAUGGCGCUGUCUGACUCCUCUUAGCAACAUCCACACAGGCUGGUACAGUCAGAUCAUUGUGACUUGGACAGGGAUGAAAAUACUCAGCUGACACCAAUAGCUCCCAGCACAGCCAGGGUAUUCUAGAGGUGUGUGGUGUCAGGACAGCCUGUGUGGCCUCAUUUAUUUACCUGAGUCAUCUGAACAAAGCGGUGACUGGCUUUGCCUGGCUCUGGCAAGAACUCGCAACAAAGCCAAAGCCUCUUCCUCCACGGCCUUUGCUCCUGCAGCACAGCACUGGCAUCUUUUUAGCAUCAUAGACACUGUCACGUGGCAAUCAAUGACAGAUGAACUGUCCCUUCCCUGGGCCACAAGCUCUUCAAGGCGGGAGCCUCAGCCCAGUUUCUUCCAUGUCUCCAGCGCCCAGCACAGGGCCUGGCUUCUAGCUGGUUUCUGAUGAAUAAACGAAUGGCUAUAGAGAUGUACUCUUCAAAACACAAGGGGCUUCUAUAGUGGCAGCAUGUUCAGUAGCACAGUGCUGUAUUGGUUCUUUACAGCUUGCAGGACCCAAAGAAGGAAUGAUUUUUGUUUCCCGGGAAAGGUGUACCUCGUGGGGGCACUGCUCAAGGGAAGGUGCCCACAAGUUGGGGAUCAAGGGAGGCACAGGUUGAUCAAGGCCCCUGGAACUGAAAUGGAGGUGUUCAUCCUGCGGAGGCUCCGAACAUCUGAGGCAGAGCCUCGAUUCUCCAGGAAAUUGACUUUGCCGGAGAACAAGGCUGGAGGAGGCAGGCUGUCCUAGGGGAGGAGUCGUAUUUCAGCCCCACUGAGACCCCAAAGGCGCACUCCCAUGCUUUACCCCAGCUAUCCACUAGGGGGCAGGCAGAGGCAAGAGAAGAGGAAAGCGGGCGGCUGGUCAGGCCCAGCACAUCCAGCCUGGCAUCCCACACGCUGGGCUGCCUGACUCAGACAAAGCCAGGCCGCUCCUCCUGCCUGUUGUGGCCUCUGUGAUUUUAUAUGGUUUGGCCUGUGACAUCAGACACCACGCGACCAUGGUAACCAAAGUAUACAGCCUGGAGUGAAUGUUAAUAAACAGGAAAGAAACGAUACCUGGUGUCUUGCUUUACUCACCAUUUCCGGUCUUGUUAUCCACGCCUAACGUCUCCUUUAUUACCACGAGCAAUCGAGAUGUACCUGAAUUCAGCAACUUUUAAAAAUGAGAAGCUAAACUGGGGAAAUAUUUGGAGAGACAGCUGGGAGCCUCUGAUGUGAAAAUAAAAAAUUUACAACAACAAGCAAGCUGUCCUCUGACACCAGGAGAGGAACUCGCUUCAGCCCUGGCAAGAAUUGCAGCUGGACUUUGUGAAGCACUGUUUCAUCAGAUGCCAAACGUCAUAGCAAGGGCAAGAAUGACAAGAAUUACAGUUUCUGCCCUGAUGCACAGGUACUGAUGGAAGAGAUAUUUCUGUGUUGAUUUUGCACUUCUCAGGGCAAAUCUGCAAAAUAGAUAUCAAAGGAGAUGUGGGCACUGGGCAAGGAGCCACACCAAUCAACCAUAUAGAGCAGUCUGGAGGAGUCUCUCCCCAUCUCCAACCCUCAGUUUUUCCCACCUGUUAAACACAGGCCACAAUGUCUGUGCAGCCACCUCGCAGUGCAGUUAAAAGAACCGGUUUAAACAGUGUUUCUUAGCUUAGAGUCAAUGGCUGAACAGGUUGCAGAGGGGCUGUAAAAUCCUGAAAUCUGCAUGAAGCAAUUUUUCCAUAUAUGUCCAUGUGCAUCUUUCUGAGGAGGGGUUUGUCGCUUUCACUAUAUUCUUAAGAAUAUAGUCACUCUUAAGAGGUUAAGGGCCACUGUUCUAGGUAAUGUGUGAAGGUGAUGUAUGUGUCCUGUAAUUGAGCUAUUAUCAGCAAGCUUUUUGAGGAGAAAGGGACACAGAGGAGCACCUAUUAUGUGUUAGGGACUGUGCAGGACACAGAGAGAAUAGAAAAAAAAUGACCCUGGCCUUCUGGAGCAUAUGAUAGACUUUAGAUAUGAGCCCAAAACAGAUUAAAAGUUAAAAGGAAAAGCUAAGUAUAGGCAACACAGGUGAAAGGUCAGAAGAAUGUAAGUGCCCCAUAGAAGGAGAGAAAUGGACUUCCAGCUACAGUGGGUUUAGGGACGGACACAGAGCGAGGGUGGGAUCGAGUACAGGGAAAGGCAGGCAAGAGCAUCUGUGGAAGACGGAUGGCCGGUGCAGCAGAGCUUGCAUGCUGAGUUGACACGCUCCAUGCCAGAGACCCUUAGAUUGGGACUAAGUGUCACCGAAGAGAAGGCUGCGUUCAACAGAUGGUUCUCAGGGUGACAGUUCAUCCCAGGUGCCCUCAGACCCACAUGACCUGCUCUUGGUCCUUCAGCCUCCGCUCUGCAGAUGGGGCUGAGGGGCCCACCCAGAGAAGCCCUGUGGGGGAGAACAGAGCCUGCCCAGGACAGAUAUUCUCCUCCUUAGGAGCAAGUCCUCUUGACCCCCACGUUCCAAGCAGGAAGCUUUUCACAUGUAGACUUUCUUCCUGCUGUGAUGCACAAAAGCAGCCUCUUCCCAGUUAACAAAGUCUGAUGGAGCCUCCUGGGGCCAUGCCUAGCACAUCGUUACCCGAAGCAGACUAGGCAAACAAAGCCCUAGAAAAUGAGAACAAAUGGAAAUGAUUUGAUAUUUUAGAAAAAAAUAUUGAAGUGUUUAUCGUGGGGAAAACUGGAACCCUGUUAAUAUUUUUACUAGUAUUGUAUGGCAUGGCAGUUUCUAAAUUCUGCAUGUGGUGGGGCUACUGUAACUCUUUCUGGGCAGAGGACUGUGUGAUGAUUCUACUCAGACCCUGGCUCCACAGACUAGCAAGGCCGCCCCUUCCCAAGUCAGCAAUUGUCCAGGACCAAAUGGUCAUUUCUCCACUCCUCUGGGACUCUGAAAGAGCAUUCUCCAGAGCUCUUGGGAUCUUGCCUUGGCUCUGUGGAUGUAAGAUCCCAAAUUCUUUCUAGAACGUACUCUUGAAGACUGAGUUGACUCUGGAGAUCAGUGUAGGAUCACUGUCCCCACUUUGCAGCCCCAAACCCACUUCCCAAGGGAGUAAUUCAUUACCUGCAGUCCUGCUUACUCAAAGGGAAUGUCUAAUGACAUCUGCUCUGCAGCACCUGAGGACCUGAGACCAGGACUCCUGGCCUCUUUUCAGAAAGAGUGGAGUCUGCCAUUUCCUGACCACCGCCCUGUCCUCAAGGGCAGCUCGUCUCCUGUGUUACAUUCCUGCAUGAACCCCCGCCCUGAUCCUGUGACUUGUCAUGUGCCACAGUGCCAUGAGAUUUGUGUUACUUUGCUUCUGUUCCUGAAAGUUAUCAGUUCCCCUUUUCAUCCUAUCACUGCCUGGUUGAAUGAUGAGGGUCCCUGAGGGGAACUGGGUCUCUUCUUUCUGUUCACGGGUACCAGAAGAA